GACGAACGCUGGCGGCGUGCUUAACACAUGCAAGUCGAGCGGUAAGGCCCUUUCGGGGGUACGACGAGCGGCGAACGGGUGAGUAACACGUGGGUGACCUGCCCUCAGCUCUGGGAUAAGCCUGGGAAACCGGGUCUAAUACUGGAUAUGACUCCAUGACGCAUGUUGUGGGGUGGAAAGCCUUGUGCGGCUGAGGAUGGGCCCGCGGCCUAUCAGCUUGUUGGUGGGGUGAGGCCUACCAAGGCGACGACGGGUAGCCGGCCUGAGAGGGCGACCGGCCACACUGGGACUGAGACACGGCCCAGACUCCUACGGGAGGGCAGCAGUGGGGAAUCUUGCGCAAUGGGCGAAAGCCUGACGCAGCGACGCCGCGUGAGGGAUGACGGCCU
rnacentral:rRNA from 1 species